AGAAUCAACGCUGGCGGCGUGCCUAACACAUGCAAGUCGAACGAGAAAGUGGAGCAAUCCAUGAGUAAAGUGGCGCACGGGUGAGUAACACGUGACUAACCUACCUUUUAGUGGGGGAUAACCUAGGGAAACCUGGGCUAAUACCGCAUAAUACCUACGGGUCAAAGCAGCAAUGCGCUGAAAGAGGGGGUCGCGGCCGAUUAGCUAGUUGGCGGGGUAAUGGCCCACCAAGGCAGUGAUCGGUAUCCGGCCUGAGAGGGCGCACGGACACACUGGAACUGAAACACGGUCCAGACUCCUACGGGAGGCAGC
rnacentral:rRNA from 1 species